rnacentral:rRNA from 1 species
AUACGGAGGAUCCGAGCGUUAUCCGGAUUUAUUGGGUUUAAAGGGUGCGCAGGCGGCCAUUUAAGUCAGCGGUUAAAUCGUGGGGCUCAACCCCAUUCUGCCGUUGAUACUGGGUGGCUUGAUUGCGGUCGAGGUUGGCGGAAUUCGUUGUGUAGCGGUGAAAUGCAUAGAUAUGACGAAGAACACCGAUUGCGUAGGCAGCUGACCAGACCGCAAAUGACGCUCAUGCACGAAAGUGCGGGGAUCGAACAGGAUUAGAUACCCUGGUAGUCCGCACAGUAAACGAUGAAUACUUGUUUUCGGCGAUAUAAUGUCGGAGGCAAAGCGAAAGCGAUAAGUAUUCCACCUGGGGAGUACGCCUGCAACGGUGAAACUUAAAGGAAUUGACGGGG